rnacentral:rRNA from 1 species
UCAGGAUGAACGCAGCGGCAGGCUAACACAUGCAAGUCGAGGGGCAACGCGAGUAGCAAUACUUGGCGGCGACCGGCGCAAGGGUGCGUAACGCGUGAGCAACAUGCCCGUAUCAGGGGGAUAAUCCAGGGAAACUUGGUCUAAUACCCCAUAGUAAUUUUUGUAAGGCAUCUUAUAAGAUUUAAAGCUUUGGUGGAUACGGAUUGGCUCGCGUGACAUUAGCUGGAUGGUAAGGUAACGGCUUACCAUGGCUAUGAUGUCUAGGGGUUCUGAGAGGAAGGUCCCCCACACUGGAACUGAGACACGGUCCAGACUCCUACGGGAGGCAGCAGUGAGGAAUAUUGGACAAUGGAUGGAAAUCUGAUCCAGCCAUGCCGCGUGAAGGAAAGAAGGUCCUAUGGAUUGUAAACUUCUUUUGUAUGGGAGCAAUAAGGCCUACGAGUAGGUUGAUGAGAGUACCAUACGAAUAAGCACCGGCUAACUCCGUGCCAGCAGCCGC